rnacentral:rRNA from 1 species
GAUGAACGCUGGCGGCGUGCCUAAUACAUGCAAGUCGAGCGAACAGAUGAGGAGCUUGCUCCUCUGACGUUAGCGGCGGACGGGUGAGUAACACGUGGAUAACCUACCUAUAAGACUGGGAUAACUUCGGGAAACCGGAGCUAAUACCGGAUAAUAUCUUGAACCGCAUGGUUCUAUAGUGAAAGACGGCUUUGCUGUCACUUAUAGAUGGAUCCGCGCCGCAUUAGCUAGUUGGUAAGGUAACGGCUUACCAAGGCAACGAUGCGUAGCCGACCUGAGAGGGGGAUCGGCCACACUGGAACUGAGACACGGUCCAGACUCCUACGGGAGGCAGCAGUAGGGAAUCUUCCGCGAUGGGCGAAAGCCUGACGGAGCAACGCCGCGUGAGUGAUGAAGGUCUUCGGAUCGUAAAACUCUGUUAUUAGGGAAGAACAAAUGUGUAAGUAACUAUGCACGUCUUGACGGUACCUAAUCAGAAAGCCACGGCUAACUACGUG